AGAGAGAGAGAGAGAGAGAGAGAGAGAGAGAGAGAGAGAGAGAGAGAGAGAGAGAGAGAGAGAGAGAGAGAGAGAGAGAGAGAGAGAGAGAGAGAGAGAGAUUGUAAGUGUUCCGGAGUGUCGAGCGACCACUUGAGUACAUCGAUUCGAAACACGUGGAGCUUCAUACCAUCGAUCUCACUGCUUCAAGACAAGCACGAGAGAGAGAGAGAGAGAGAGAGAGAGAUUGUAAUAAUUUUUAAGAAUAAUCGCCAAGAAUAAAGAAGAGACGGACAAUACGAAUUAAGAUUAAAACCGAGGAAGAGAGAGAAAGUAAGAGAGAGAAUCGGAAACAGUCAAAUAAAAAAGACAAUUCAGGAAAGCAGUGAGGCGUGAUAAGAAACGGAGAGAUAAAGUAUCAGAACCGAAGUUAGUAAAAGAUAGAGCACAGUGAAGCAAAACAGUAAGAAAAAAAAAAGGAGACGAACAAGCAAAAUCAAGAUACAUAAGAGCGAAAAGUAAAUAAAUAGUGAAAAAUACGAAAGCCAAAGCAGAGUGAACGAAUUAAGACGAGAAAGGAGUUUAAUUAAAAGAAAACACAGAAGAAGCGUGAAAGAAUAAAGGAAGAAAAUUAAUAUAGAAAAAAUAACCAAA